GGCCUAACCCCACAGCAUUUAAUGCUCUGGGUAAGGCCGUAAAUCGCUGGACACAAGAAACCCCACCGUUAGGGCGUGUUCAGCGUUGUAUGGAGAAAUCUAUACAGAGGCGCAAGCCUU
rnacentral:sRNA from 12 species